ensembl:processed_transcript
ACACACUCUGGCUACUGCACAUGCGCAGAUCUCAUAAAUGAAUCCGACUUUAAUCAACUUAAUUAAGAUCUAUCAUCAAAUUAAUCGAAUUUUCGGUCAGAGGCCGGGGUGGAGUGCAUGAGCCGCGGUCAGACAGUCACCAAUCACCGUGCGGCUAAAUGGAUCGACGGAGGAUAAAACCAUUAAAAGAUGCGGAGAAACACAUCACCAGCUCCACCGACAAGACCCAUUCACUGGAAACCGAAUAUAUAGAAGGUUACUAAGUUUUGCAGCAUUGAUGCCGAUCAUGAGGACGAUCUGCACCCUAACUGCACUGUCAAUAAGAUCGUUGUUCAGAGAAAACCUCAUUUGUGCCUUUUUGCAAUCAGGGAUAUUUUCUUUGGAGAGGAAAUAACGUUUGACUAU